rnacentral:rRNA from 1 species
CCUACGGGUGGCAGCAGUGGGGAAUAUUGGACAAUGGGGGGAACCCUGAUCCAGCGACGCCGCGUGAGUGAAGAAGGAUUUCGGGAUGUAAAGCUCUAUCAGCAGGGAAGAAAAUGACGGUACCUGACUAAGAAGCCCCGGCUAACUACGUGCCAGCAGCCGCGGUAAUACGUCGGGGGCAAGCGUUAUCCGGAUUUACUGGGUGUAAAGGGGGCGUAGACGGUGCAGCAAGUCUGAUGGGAAAGGUCGGGGCCCAACCCCGGGACUGCAUUGGAAACUGUUGAACUGGAGUAAAUGAGAGGUAAGCGGAAUGCCUAGUGUAGCGGUGAAAUGCGUAGAUAUUAGGAGGAACACCAGUGGCGAAGGCGGCUUACUGGACCGUAACUGACGCUGAGGCACGAAAGCGUGGGGAGCAAACAGGAUUAGAUACCCGGGUAGUC